rnacentral:lncRNA from 1 species
UCUGUUACUAUGCGCUUUCUGGAUCAGACAAGCCAAGGCUCUGUUACUAUGAGCUGGAUCAGACAAGCCAAGGCUCCUGUUACUAUGAGCUGGAUCAGACAAGCCAAAGCUGCUGUUACUAUGAGCUGUUCUGGAUCAGACAAGCCAAGGCUGCUGUUACUAUGAGCUGGACCAGACAAGCCAAGGCUGCUGUUACUAUGAGCUGGAUCAGACAAGCCAAGGCUCCUGUUACUUAUAUAUUAACUUCACUUUAAUAAUAUCCAAAUCAUAUAGUGAACAACAGAGGGUUUAUACUUGUAUAAAAUCAAUCGAAGCUAAUAAUGAAAACAAAAUACACAUUUUUAAAUAUUUAGUCUGAUUUUAGACAUGAUCAGGUUUCCAGAUGGAAAAAAAAACAAAACAAAAGUAGGUCUAUUUUGUUAAUGAUUUCAUAUAAACAAUAUGAUUUAAUUUGGCAAAAACAAAAACCUAAAUUCUCAGGUCAAUAACAUAAGUCAGAACACAGCGUCUAUAUUCUCGCAUGUGAUUUCAGGUCCUCUGACUGGGAAAAUGUCUUUCCACACUGAGAGCAGUGGUAGGUCUUCUCCCCUCUUGUAUGUGUCCUCUCAUGCCUAUUCAGGCCCCCUAACUUAGUAAAACUCUUUCCACAGUGGAAGCAGCGGUAGGACUUUUCUUGUGUGUGCGUCCUCUCGUGCUUUUUCAGGCCCCCUGACCAACUAAAACUCUUUCCACAGUGGGAACAGUGGUAGGGCUUUUCUCCUGUGUGUAUUCUGUAUUUUCAUGUUCCCUAACUGGGUAAAACUCUUUCCACAGUGGGAACAUUGGAUCAGCUUUUCUCCUAUGGUUUUUCAGAUUCCAGGAUAAGAAAAAUCUCUUUCCACAGUGGGAGCAGUGGUGUGGGCUUGCUGGUUUGGGCCUUGCAGGGUCUGCUUCCUCUGAAGGACUCUUCCUACUGUGAGAGUCUGGUCUCUCUCCUGCCAAAGACGAACAGAUUAUUUAGUUAUACAGAGAGGCCUGAAUAAAAGCCUACACAUAAUAAAACUGUCUUACUGUGAAGUCG